GAGUGUCUCAAUAUUUGCGAUAAGAGCAAUAAAUUGUCAUUAACAUAAGGAUGUGCGCUGCAUACCCUAAGAGGAAUUCCUAAAGCCCACAUGCCGAACGCUUGACACGCAGCGCAUUCCCAAUAAGAAACGUGAGGUGGCUGCCAAAAACAAAAACAAAAACAAAAGCAA